rnacentral:rRNA from 1 species
CCUACGGGAGGCAGCAGUGGGGAAUUUUGGACAAUGGGGGCAACCCUGAUCCAGCCAUUCCGCGUGAGUGAAGAAGGCCUUCGGGUUGUAAAGCUCUUUUGUCGGGGACGAAACGGUUACGAUUAAUACUCGUGACAACUGACGGUACCCGAAGAAUAAGCACCGGCUAACUACGUGCCAGCAGCCGCGGUAAUACGUAGGGUGCGAGCGUUAAUCGGAAUUACUGGGCGUAAAGCGUGCGCAGGCGGUUUUGUAAGCCAGAUGUGAAAUCCCCGGGCUUAACCUGGGAAUGGCAUUUGGGACUGCAAGGCUAGAGUAUGGCAGAGGAGACUAGAAUUUCUGGUGUAGCAGUGAAAUGCGUAGAUAUCAGAAGGAAUACCGAUGGCGAAGGCAGGUCUCUGGGUCAAUACUGACGCUCAUGCACGAAAGCGUGGGGAGCAAACAGGAUUAGAUACCCUGGUAGUCCACGCCCUAAACGAUGUCAACUGGUUGUUGGGAGAUUUAUUCUCUUAGUAACGAAGCUAACGCGUGAAGUUGACCGCCUGGGGAGUACGGUCGCAAGAUUAAAACUCAAAAUGAAUUGACGG